rnacentral:rRNA from 1 species
CACGGGGGGAGCAAGCGUUGUUCGGAAUCACUGGGCGUAAAGGGCGUGUAGGCGGUUCGGUAAGUGAGAUGUGAAAUCCUCCGGCUCACCCGGAGACCUGCAUCUCAAACUGCCGGACUAGAGUAUGGGAGAGGACAAGGGAACUCCUGGUGUAGCGGUGAAAUGCGUAGAUAUCAGGAGGAACACCGGUGGCGAAAGCGCUUGUCUGGCCCAAUACUGACGCUGAGGCGCGAAAGCUAGGGGAGCAAACGGG